UUCACGAAGUGACGGAUAAGAGGAAAAUUUUCACUUUUUUCAAUUUUGAGUUUUUUGCAUUUUUGGACAUCUAUGACUUAUAUCUUGAACCUCAAAAAGUUUCAGAUCACAAUAAUGUCUAAUUACGUUGCUAUGACGACAUGACAUUCAAUAAAAUACCGUGUAAAAGGAUUUCUUGUUUUCACGAAGUGACGGAUAAGCAGCCGUCAUUACGUGAAAACAAACGAAUACGCUUUGCACUCAAGAGUUUUUUCACGAAGUGACGGAAGGCAAAUAUUUACAGUUUGGAACAGCCGAAGACCAUGAAAUGAUGCAGUAUAUACAAUAAGUGAUGUUUCAGAGAACAAAUGAGA
rnacentral:lncRNA from 1 species